GAAACAUAAAAUUAGUUAUUCUAAGAAGAGACAGUCACAUUUCAAAAAUACAAGAAACAUGUAUUCUGAAUAAAUGAGAAUAAGCCUAAGUUUAAAGCAUCAGUAAGCAACUUUUACAAUUUUUUUUCACAUAUUUUUUAAAACUGUCAUUAUAUCAUUAUAGUAAACUGAGCACCUCCAAGUGAAAUGCCUGAAGAAAUGCAACUUACCGCUCCAGGAAAAUCAACCAAUCAGAGCC